ACAGAGAGCGGUUUGAUAUGUCACUGAAACCAGCAUCCAGGUGGUAUUGCUCCAUAUGCCUGAGACCCUAACAAAAGCCUAAUUACAACUCAUAUGCCUGGAGCCAGGACAUGUGCAGGAUGGUGAUGUAACUUUCCUCUCUGGAAUGGGUCCUGCACAAAGGAAUGAUAGUAACAUAUUGCAAAGCCAGACACACAGGGAAAUUUUGACCUAUUGCACCCAGAUGAUGUUACUCUUCUGAUAGAGUCCUGAAAAAAGAGGGAAUUAUUGCAUACUGGUGGGCCCAGCUGCUGAUGAUGCUACAGUCCUUCCUGUGCCAGAGCCACAGACAGUAUUUUGACAUAAUUUCGGCCCAUUUGCCAUGAUGGUCCAAGUUAUAUUGGGAUUCAGCCAAUAGAAGAUAUUUUGCCUGUCAUCCCUAAGCUUAGGACAAUAGACUCUGCCAAGAGAGGGGAUUAUUACAUAUUGCAGAGCCCAGCACCUAGGUGGAGUGACUCUCAUCUUUUUCUUCUACCCCGUAUAUAGCCAGCUUGGUGACCUACUAUUUGAGUCUAUACCCAGGCCCAGACCACAGAUGAAAUUGUGCAAUAUGUGGAACAAACACCUAAACAAUAUAUAACACCUUCCUUGGCUCUGUCUACAAAGGGCACUUUUAUAUAUCACUGGGACCAUCAACCAGGUGAUGUUAAUUAUCUUCCUGAAACCUGUCUACAAAGAGAGUUGUGUCGUAUACCUAGGCCCGUCAUGUAAGUGAUGUCAGUCCCUUCUACUGCCUUGGCCCUGCACUUACAGUGCAUUGUGACACAUAACAAGGUACUGCACACAGACGAUGUGAUUCUCCUUUUUGGGUUCUGCCAAAAGGAAGCAUUGUAAUAAAUCGCUUGGCUCAGUA
rnacentral:lncRNA from 1 species